UGUCUCGCCGGGAUAUUCAAACACUCGAAAACAAUGUAUGAAAAAACUCGUGCUCGUGUUUCCAUACAUUGUUUUCUCGUGUUUGGAUAUCCCGGUGAAACA